rnacentral:rRNA from 1 species
UCGGGAAUUUUGGGCAAUGGGCGAAAGCCUGACCCAGCAACGCCGCGUGAAGGAUGAAGUAUUUCGGUAUGUAAACUUCGUAAGAAUAGGAAGAAUAAAUGACGGUACUAUUUGUAAGGUCCGGCUAACUACGUGCCAGCAGCCGCGGUAAUACGUAGGGACCAAGCGUUGUUCGGAUUUACUGGGCGUAAAGGGCGCGUAGGCGGCGUGGUAAGUCAUCUGUGAAAUCUCCGAGCUUAACUCGGAACGGUCAGAUGAUACUGCUGUGCUAGAGUACAGAAAAGGGCAAUCGGAAUUCUUGGUGUAGCGGUGAAAUGCGUAGAUAUCAAGAGGAACACCUGAGGCGAAGGCGGGUUGCUAGGCUGACACUGACGCUGAGGUACGAAAGCUAGGGGAGCGAACGGGAUUAGAUACCCUAGUAGUCCCUGAGCGGGCUGGCAAGGCGCAU